rnacentral:lncRNA from 1 species
AGAUAUCCCGCUGACCCGCUCUCAGACUACUCCCAUUGGUGACCGAUGGCGACAUCUGUAACUCCUCCGCUCCCCGGAGACCAAAGCAUCACCUUCCUUCGCCGGAGAUCUAAGAAACUUUUGGAAUUCAAAAGGACUGGUUUGUAGUCAACCGUUAUAUAUACGUUAUUCAGUCAUUCCGCUCUCAACAAACCCAAACACACCCAGACCCAUAGCGAUCUAUGUAACUACACUUCCGGAGACGUAAACACCCACAACUUUCAAAUGAGACUCUCAUUCAUCUCUCUAGUCCUAGAAAUUAUCAAGAUCGUUGUAAGUUUUUCUAGGGUUUUUUUGUGAUUAAGAUAUUGUAAUUUCCAUUUAAAUAUUAAAUUGUUGUUUGAAUAAGAAAGAAUCAAAGGUUAAUUGAUAAUUUUUUUUCCUCUCUGCUCGUUGGGGUUUCUACUUUCUAGUAAAACACACUCCAAUUUGCUUAUGUUUUACUGAUUCGUGACUGAUUGAUAUUUUACCAUAAACAAAUUAACGGAAGAUAGUUUAUAUUUUUAUUGCAUUUAGCCUUGUUAUCCGAUGUAUGCGUUUGUGUGAUGAAGAACAGGGCUCUGGAGUCAGGAUAUAUCCAAAUAAGAAAUUUUUUGAUGUGUAAAACUAAUUUAUGUGUAAAAUUCGGUAUGUAUUUGUUACUGAUAAAUGUUUCAUGUUAUCUUAUAUAGGAUUGAUAAGAAACUUACAUUGGACUCAUGGAUUAAUUUUGCACUGGAUCAGGUUUCACUGAAUGGACUUAAUCAGAACAACUGAACAAGACUUAAUUCAGUAAGGUUGUUUCUUUUUACUUAAUGCAUAAAGAAAGGCUUAAUGCAAAAUGCCAAGGAAAGAAGGUUUUCCCAAUUAGAGGUAGUUAUAACCUUUAGGCUACAAUAAACCUUUUCCAUUUAUAAAAAUGCCAAUUUUGAAGUUUUGAUGAUUACUAUAUUAAUGACUGAAGUGGUGUAUUUCUUUGGUCCAAGGCAAAAGAGAUCGAAUUGGCAAGUGGGAUUAUUAUUUUUCUCCCUAAUUCUACAAAAUUUAUAAAUUAUUGAAUUAAGUAGUGCUUUUAUUUGUUAGGAAUAAGCUACUGUGAAGAAGAACUAUGGUGAGAAGGUGCUUAUUCAGGUUAGCUGAUAAGUUGAUUAAUGAGGGGUCAUCAUAUUUAAAUUUCUGAUUAUAUAAAUUUCUUUCAAAAUACAGUGCCACCCAUGCAGUGAUGAUGUAGUUUUAACCUUAUCAAGGAGAAUUUAUAGGGAUUAGAACUGUAUUCUACUCUCGCGACCAAUGUGGGUAAUUUACUCUUAAUAGAGCAAUGUACUUUACAUAUUACAAGUUAAAGUAAAUAUUCUAAAAAAAAUUAAGAAAUAGAAAUCAAAGUAAGAUGCUAUAAUAGACAAUAAAAUGAAAGUAUAUUGCUAUUUCAUGCAUAAAACCCAUGAUUGGGCUAAAUGCAAGAAAAAACAAUUUUUUUUAUUACAUAUUACAAGUUAAAGUAAUUUAAUGAUCCUCCAAAUAACCUUUUUUUUUUUUUUUUNCCCCCCAAAAAACUUUUUUUUUUUUUUUUUUUUUUUUUUUUUUAAUUUUGCUAAUUCAUGACUGUUUGACACUUUAGUGUAAACAAAUUAACGAAAGAAAGUUUAUAUUUAUUGCAUUUAGCCUUAUUAUCUGGUAUAUGUGUUUGUGUGAUGUAGAACAGGGCUCAGGUUAUAUCCUAAUAAGAAAAUUUUGGAAGUGUAAAACUAGUUUAUGUGUGAAAUUCUGUAUGUAUUUGUAACUGAUAAAUGUUUCAUGCUAUCUCAUAUAGGAUGGAUAAGAAACUUGCAUUGGACUCAUAGAUUAAUUUUUCACUUUAUCAAUUUUGACUGAAUGAGUUCGAAACUUGGCAGCAGCAUUGACUCUUUUGAUUUUUUUUUUUUGACUGAAUGAGCUUAAUCAGAACAAAUGUGUAAGACUUAAUUCAGUAAGGUCGUUUCUUUUUUACUUAAUGCAAAAUGUCAAGGAAAGAAGGCUUUUCCCAUUAGAGGUAGUUAUAACCUUUAAGUUACAAUAAACCUAUUCCAUGUCUAUAAAAAUGCAAGUUUUGAAGUUUUGAUGGUGAAUUAAUGCUUUUUUUUUAUGCUUUGGGUAGUGUUUGAAACCAUUUUAAUAAUGAAUGAAGUGGUGUAUUUCUUUGGUCUAAGGCAAAAGAGAGCGAAUUGGCAAGUGGGAUUGUUAUGUUUGUUUUUUUCCCUAAUUCUACAAAAGUUAUAAAUUAUUUAACUAAAUAGUGUUUUUAUUUGUUAGGAAUGCAUAUGCUAUUGUGAAGAACUAUGGUGAGAAGGUGCUUAUUCAGGUUAGUUAAUAAGUGGUCAUAUUAGUCUUUGAUCUUCUUUCAAAAUACAGUGCCACCCAUGCUAUUUUCAAUGAUGAUAUAAGUGUAUUAAUGUAGUUUUAACCUUAUCAAGGGAAAUUUAUAGGGAUUAGAAAUGUAUUAUAAUACUCUUGCGACCCAAUUUCUCUUUUUUCCCUCUUCCUGUAAGUAAUUUUGAGCAAAUUGUUCAUCUUUAUUGGAUUCUGAUUUUUUUUUUUUAUAUUUUUUUAUUAUUACAUUUCAGGCAAACUGAUAUUUUUUGCAGUAACAAAUCGCUUUGUAUUUGGUUAAACUGGGUAGAUUUUUGAAAGUAAAAUGUUGAAAAAAGAUGAUAGAGAUGAAUAUUGUUAUAGUCUAGACAUGAAAGAGAUGAAUUAGAACAAUUGAGUAGGAAUCUGAUUGAAUGAUUAGAGUAAAAUCACUCCAGAAACAGGAUACCUAACCACUUGUUAACAGUCCUUAUUUGUACUUGUAUUCACCACCGACUUAGCUAAAAGGACUAUAAUGCCCUUGACUCAAAUAAACACAAAAGUCAAACAGUCACAACAGUUACUUCCUAUUUCUUGCAAUUAGAUUCGCAGGAGAGGACACUCACAAACCAUCUUUAUUAUCAUUUCUCACCUGUCCCUUUUACUUCAGUUCUCUAGGGAUAAAUUUCAGGAAAUAGCAGCAUACUUCUUGUAUUUCAUAUGUUAAGAAAGUAUGUAUUUCAUCUUAUUCUUUCUGGUGGCUUACUUUAAUUUUACUCUUCUUUCUAAGUUUGUGUGUUUCUGUUUUUAAAAGGAUUCAUUUUCAUAUCAGAUAUGAGGACACUGAAAGGUAAUUAACUUCAAAUUCUCUUUGUUGUCUUGUUACUGUGUUUCUAGCUAAUUCCUUUUGUAUUAUAGCAAUCCUGACCUGUGUUGGAUGCAAUUUCUUGAUAUCAUUGAUGUGAUAUUAUUAUUCUUUUUAAAUACUUGGGUAUCAUGUUUUGGGAUUCUUUAGUUACUUUAUUUCUAUUAUGGGUAUUUUUCUGUUCUCCAAAUUGGUAUGAUUGGUAUGUAAUGUAUUCAGCAGUGUAAAUUGAUGUUUUAGAUUUCAACCACCAUGUCAUUAUUGUUGUAAUUAGGAUCAUCUUCAGAUUUGGCACAAAGGAUGGAAAACCAGCCAAUGCUCCUUUAGUUCACUAGAUGUGAAUUUUUGAAAUUUCUCUAAAUAGUUUUCAUAUUUUGAUGCGUCCAUUUCUCUUUCUAAUUAUACGCAUCUAUCUACCUUUUUUAAUGGUUAUGUGUUGACGAUUGAUGUUCAUGUAUCUGUGUAUGCCUUGGAUAAUGACGUCUUCAAUUUUCUGGAUUUGUGUUUAGCAAUAUAUCCUUUGCUAGACUGAUGGUAGUAUAUAAUAUAGUUAUCACUUUCUUUAUUAUUAUUAUUAUUAUUAUUAUUAUUAUUAUUAUUAUUAUUGUUAUUAUUAUUGUUUUGUAAUUAUUAGAUUGUUUAUUAUAUAUGUAGUAGUAGGAUAUACUUUUUUUUGGCAUAAUAGACGUUGGAUACCUUAUAAGGGCCAAACCUCAAAUCCUUAUAUGUAUAUGCAAUUAUGCAUACAUAUUUGUAUAACAUAAGAGCAGUACCAUUUUCUGAUUUUUUUUUCAGUGGCAGUAUGUAUGUUACAAUCUUUUCUGCUGAAAUUUGAUCUAUAUUUUAUUUUUUCUUAAUAUGUCUCAAGUUUCCAUGUGCAUCUGUGUAGAUCAAAUAAGUCAAAAUAUAUUUAUGAUUUUUGAAAUGUGGUCCGCUUAAUUUCAGGUCUAGCAUUCCCUCCUCUUUAACAUCUAUAGUGGAGUCAGGGAUCUUUUUUGCAAUUUUGGUUCUUAUUUAAUGGUUUCAGUUUUAUAAUGCUUUUUACUACCCGGGUGGUCCUCAACUCUAAAAUGAUCAUUUUGUCAUCUCUUUUAUUUUCAUUUUCAUGGGGUGUUAUGAAAUUUCAUCGAAAUUCCUUCAAAACUAUUGUCAUGUAUGCUCAUUCGACGGACAUUAAACUUAACCAAUAACUAUCAAACGACCCUUAAGGUGUUUUAUGUUUUGAACCCAAAAAGUAACGAGAUUAUUUUGUUCUAAGAUUUUUUCGAAGAUAGUAUAUUAUGUUUGUUUUUUGAAAAACCUUUACUUGAUCAUAUUUUCAAGGUAACCCUUGACCAGCUGAUAACUUGUUACCGGCUAAAAUUACCCUUACGCCAAACAAAGUGAUGGAGGAGCGGUUUUUAAACUGCACUAGUAACACCACACCCUGAGUGCGGG